rnacentral:lncRNA from 1 species
UACUCAAACCCGCAAACGAUAAAAGUUGGAGGCCUUCUCAAACAACAGCCGAUCACUGUUCUCAUCGACACAGGCAGCACUAAUAACUUCCUGAAUAGUAAGGUUGCUGCUCGGAUGGCACUACAUAUUGAAGGUUGCAGCAAGUUCGAUGUAAAGGUUGCCGACGGCAAAAUCCUAAAGUGCGACCAAAGAUGCCCGCAG